AGUGAACGCUGGCGGUAGGCCUAACACAUGCAAGUCGAACGGUAACAGGUCUUCGGAUGCUGACGAGUGGCGAACGGGUGAGUAAUACAUCGGAACGUGCCUAGUAGUGGGGGAUAACUACUCGAAAGAGUGGCUAAUACCGCAUGAGAUCUACGGAUGAAAGCAGGGGAUCGCAAGACCUUGUGCUACUAGAGCGGCCGAUGGCAGAUUAGGUAGUUGGUGGGAUAAAAGCUUACCAAGCCGACGAUCUGUAGCUGGUCUGAGAGGACGAUCAGCCACACUGGGACUGAGACACGGCCCAGACUCCUACGGGAGGCAGCAGUGGGGAAUUUUGGACAAUGGGCGAAAGCCUGAGCCAGCAAUGCCGCGUGCAGGAUGAAGGCCUUCGGGUUGUAAACUGCUUUUGUACGGAACGAAAAGCCCCGGGUUAAUACCCUGGGGUCAUGACGGUACCGUAAGAAUAAGCACCGGCUAACUACGUGCCAGCCGCCGCGGUAA
rnacentral:rRNA from 1 species